CUUGCAAUUUGAAAUUAGUUAAAAAUGCAAUACUUUAUUUUCACCUUCUUAAUUGUGCUUGCAGCUUUAAGCUGUAUGUCCGUCACAGCUGAAUUUGACAGAAUUAAAUCUGAAGCUGCGCAUGGUACAUUGAAAAUGGUGUUCGAUCUUUUAGGAAGAGUAAUAGAACAAUUUGAUCAGUGAAAAAUUCAAGUCUCUGAAAAAAUGUAUUGGAAAUUGAAUUAAAAAAAAAAAAAAAAAAUUUUAAUAAUCGUAUGGCAAUAUGAAAUCUGUAAUGAUAACAAAUUGGAAUUAUUAUUUGAUUUGUAAUAUUCAUCAUGAAUAAAUAAUUAAAAUAAAUAAA